rnacentral:rRNA from 1 species
UACGUAGGGGGCAAGCGUUGUCCGGAAUCAUUGGGCGUAAAGAGCGUGUAGGCGGUUCGGUAAGUCGGCUGUGAAAGUCCAGGGCUCAACCCUGGGAUGCCGGUCGAUACUGCCGGACUAGAGUUCGGAAGAGGCGAGUGGAAUUCCCGGUGUAGCGGUGAAAUGCGCAGAUAUCAGGAGGAACACCGGUGGCGAAGGCGGGUCUCUGGGCCGAUACUGACGCUGGAGGAGCGAAAGCGUGGGGAGCGAACAGG